UACGGGGGGGGCAAGCGUUGUUCGGAAUUACUGGGCGUAAAGGGCUCGUAGGCGGCCAACUAAGUCCGACGUGAAAUCCCCAGGCUUAACCUGGGAACUGCGUCGGAUACUGGAUGGCUUGAAUUCGGGAGAGGGAUGCAGAAUUCCAGGUGUAGCGGUGAAAUGCGUAGAUAUCUGGAGGAAUACCGGUGGCGAAGGCGGCAUCCUGGACCGACAUUGACGCUGAUGGGCGAAAGCUAGGGGAGCAAACGGG
rnacentral:rRNA from 1 species